rnacentral:rRNA from 1 species
CUGAGCACGGCCCAGACUCCUCGGGAGGGCAGCAGUGGGGAAUAUUGGACAAUGGGCGAAAGCCGUGAUCCAGCAAUGCCGCGUGAGUGGAUGAAGGCCUUUAGGGUUGUAAAGCUCUUUUACCAGGGAUGAUAAUGACAGUACCUGGAGAAUAAGCUCCGGCUAACUCCGUGCCAGCAGCCGCGGUAAUACGGAGGGAGCUAGCGUUGUUCGGAAUUACUGGGCGUAAAGAGUACGUAGGCGGUGAUUCAAGUCAGAGGUGAAAGCCUGGAGCUCAACUCCAGAACUGCCUUUGAAACUAGAUCGCUAGAAUCAUGGAGAGGGUUAGUGGGAAUUCCGAGUGUAGAGGUGAAAUUCGUAGAUAUUCGGAAGAACACCAGUGGACGAAGGCGACUAAACUUGGACAUGUAUUGACGCUGAGGUACGAAAAGCGUGGGGGAGCAAACAGGAUUAGAUACCCUGGUAGUCCACGCCGUAAACGAUGAUAACUAGCUGUUCGGACUCUCAGAGUUCUG